rnacentral:rRNA from 1 species
AGGGAUCAUUACUGAGUGAGGGCUCACGCCCGACCUCCAACCCUUUGUGAACACAUCUUGUUGCUUCGGGGGCGACCCUGCCGGCACUACGUCGCCGGGCGCCCCCGAAGGUCUCCAAACACUGCAUCUUUGCGUCGGAGUUUAAAACAAAUUAAACAAAACUUUCAACAACGGAUCUCUUGGUUCUGGCAUCGAUGAAGAACGCAGCGAAAUGCGAUAAGUAAUGUGAAUUGCAGAAUUCAGUGAAUCAUCGAAUCUUUGAACGCACAUUGCGCCCUUUGGUAUUCCGAAGGGCAUGCCUGUUCGAGCGUCAUUUCACCACUCAAGCCUGGCUUGGUAUUGGGCGUCGCGGCUCCGCGCGCCUUAAAGUCUCCGGCUGAGCCAUUCGUCUCUAAGCGUUGUGGAUUUUUCAAUUCGCUUCGGAGUGCGGGUGGCCGCGGCCGUUAAAUCUUUAUUCAAAGGUUGACCUCGGAUCAGGUAGGGAUA